rnacentral:rRNA from 1 species
GAGUGAAGAGGGAAAAGCUCAAAUUUAAAAUCUGGCAGCAUUUUGUUGUCCGAGUUGUAACCUAGAGAAGUGUAACCUGUGCUGGACCGUGUAUAAGUUUCCUGGAAUGGAGCAUCACAGAGGGUGAGAAUCCCGUCUUUGACAUGGACUACCAGUGCAUUGUGGUUGUGCUCUCAACGAGUCGAGUUGUUUGGGAAUGCAGCUCUAAAUGGGUGGUAAAUUCCAUCUAAAGCUAAAUAUUGGCGAGAGACCGAUAGCGAACAAGUACCGUGAGGGAAAGAUGAAAAGAACUUUGGAAAGAGAGUUAAACAGUAUGUGAAAUUGUUGAAAGGGAAACGUUUGAAGUCAGUCGCGUUAGCUGGGGAUCAGCCUGACAUUGUUGGGUGCACUUCCUGGUUGACGGGCCAACAUCAGUUUUGACUGCCAGAAAAAGGCCAAGGGAAUGUGGCACCUUUGGGUGUGUUAUAGCCUUUGGUCAUAUAUGGUGGUUGGGACUGAGGAAUGCAGUGUGCCGAAAGGCCGGGUUUCGACCACGUUCACACUGAGGAUGUUGGCAUAAUGGCUUUAAGCGACCCGUCUUGAAACACGGACCAAGGAGUCUAACAUGCAUGCGAGUGUUUGGGUGGAAAACCCUUACGCGUAAUGAAAGUGAAAGUUGAGAUCCCUGUCAUGGGGAGCAUCGACGCCCGGACCAGAACUUUUGGGACGGAUCUGCGGUAGAGCACGUAUGUUGGGACCCGAAAGAUGGUGAACUAUGCCUGAAUAGGGUGAAGCCAGAGGAAACUCUGGUGGAGGCUCGUAGCGAUUCUGACGUGCAAAUCGAUCGUCAAAUUUG